GGGAGAGACGCUCACUGCUUCUCGCUGCAUCCGAACGGGCUCAUGUGUGCCGGCGAAGUGUGUAUUUUGAGAAAGUGGGCCCAUGAGGAGGGGUGCGAAGGCGAGAUUGCGUAGAGAGGUUGUUUCUGAGCAGGUUUGUCUUCAUUAUGUCUUCCAGUGAGGAGGAUCCCCGGUUUGUUCACAUAGCGAGGCUGUAAGGAUGUGCAGCACAAAGGCGCAAGCUGAGGAAACCCCCCUCCACCAAAGGUCACAUCAUGCCUCGGCUGCCUCUGCUCCUGUCGUGACCUCUGACUCCUUCCAGCCACUAGACAGCCUGGCAGCUCACAAGUUUAAGGCUGCAGCACAGACCACAGUGUGCAGCUUACACCAGGUUGGUGCUCUUACCUUCCUUGUUUUUUCAGCUGCAAUCUAAGCAAUGCAGACUGUUUGAAACUCUCAUUCCAUUCACAUGUUUAAAAUGGUGACUUUUAGGUGCUCUUUGAAAUGAACAUUCAAACAUUCUUUCUUUAUUCACGUGUGGCCUUGUGCAGACCUUUAGGCUGUACAAUGAAUCCAUGACCACAGUGAAUGAAUCCUAAAAUAUAACAUCUAUAUUGCACCACUCCUUUGGAUAAUCCUUGAAUUGCUUCUUGUUGCAAUUAGAGGAUGUCUUCCUAUAUGAUUUCAAAUAUUCCUCCUUUUUAACAAUGCAAUAAUCUAACAGCCUCAUGCGGCCAUGCCACAUCUAUAGACAUGUAGUGUAUCUACACUUUAUGAAUGAAACUGCACUCGUUUACCAUCAGGAGCACCACCAAAUAUGAAUCACUCCAGAUUGAAUAUUAAUAAAUUAUCAAAUCCACUUGUACUGAUCAGUCUCAUAAACAAAAGUCGUUAACCUGGAUUUCAUUGACCUCCAACUCCCAAACAAAGAAAUCCACAAUGGACCUGAUGACAAUUAUACACACACCUUCAUGAACUACUGCUACAGUCAAACGGUAAACAACAGUGACAUGACAACAGGCAGUGAGGGAGUGAAUGAAAGAAAGAAUAUGAGUAAACAAACUAGUUAAUUAACCGUGAUCAUCAGUGGAAGCAGUUUGUAGAGCGCUAAUCAAUUUAGAAUCAUUUUUGGCAUUGAGGAAACCAAUUGUAAUUUCUAACUUCACCAUUUAGCAAAAAGAAAAUGAUGCUUACAUAAUCUUUGUAGGAGGCAGAGGGAGGCCGCUGCAGGAUGUGUAGCUGUGAAAAUCUGCUGGAUAAGUUGGUUCAGGAAUGUAGAGACAGGAUGGCAACUUUGCAUAAUUGUGUUGAAAAAGUGUGAAGAAGUAAAGUCAAAGCUCGGACUCACAAAGAAAUGUUUGCACUGUUAAAUUAAGAAGCCCAACUUUAUUAAAACAUAUAAAAACAAACUUAAAUAGUAGAAAGUCAUGUAAAAGCCUUUUAAAAAUAGUAGGAAACUACCCAUAAUAUUAUCUGUGACCAUCACAGAUCUAAAAUCCCACUACACAAGUGAUUAAAAUGAUAUCAAACAUCUUUAUCUCAUCUGGUUCCUGAGAUAAUAUAAAAAGUGUAUACAUAAGCAUAAACUUUUCAGGGUUUUAUCUCAAUUUGAGUAUAUAAUGUCAUUCCUGGGAACAACAAAAUAAAGAACUCCUCUGAUACCUAUUCUAACUAGUGAGACUUUCUCUGUCUGUCUUCACCUGUUCGUCUUCAUCGUUCCCCAGACAUAUGUGAUCACCCCAGAUAUCCACCAGAAAACAACAAACUAAAACAACAAAAGGAAGCAGGGCCACACCCACUGGCACCACUUGUCUAAUCAGGCAAGUUUGGUGCUUUAAUCUUCAGACUAAACUGUAAGGUUUUCUAACAGCUGGGCAGCUCUGGCUCUGUGAUGAGCUAAUGGGUUAUUAAUUGGUUAUUAGGUGGGAUGCCAUAUCUGUUUUCAAUUAGACGCAUCUUGAUGCAGCUCCUGAGAUGAUUGGGUGUCCAAACACAAGCUCCUGGUUUCACAGGGUGAAACAGAAUUUCUCUGUAGGAAUGUUGAGGUAGCAUUUUCUUCCCUUGCUUUGUCUCAGUGGUUGGACUUUUAGAUUUUGUCCCCCCCACUUGUUUUACUUUUGAGGAGACUUCCAGUUGGAAAUAUUUCUACUUUCUUCUGGUGAUAGCACGACUGCUUUUUUUCAACUUCUUUUAUUGUAGACAGUUCUCUUAGGGACAGUCAUUUCUUUUGUGAGUGUGCAACAGUCAUGUCAGUGGUCUUUAGCAGGUGUGGGCAGCACUAAAAGUUGAUGAUUAUGGUGGUGAAUCUGCUUUUCCUGCUUUCCAUAAUGGUGGUUGCUUUGGGACUUUCUGGAUCUACUUGGUGGACUCUGCUCCAAAUAAUCUUCCAGCACCUUGAGAAUCCAUUUUUCUUUGACUGUCCCUCUUAAAAGUGGGUUCAUAAUUCCACCAUUGGUCAUGGUGGCAUUGUUGUUGGUGAUGUCUUCACCUUUGGGGAAUUUUUGAUCACCCUUGAAGUCUCCGUUUGGGUCUCGUUGAUGUUUGGCCUUCAGUCUUUCGAAGUGCUGUUGGUUUUUCCAAUGGUUUCGUUGAAAACUUGAAAAGCACUGUCACAGUAGUGGAUUAGUCUGCUCUAUCUUCCAUCAUAUCUGCGAGGAUGUGCAGGCAAUUGGAUGCAUGAGCUUAUUUCAUCAAAGGCUGAGUCUCACUCUUGUCUUGUGUUGUGUCAGACUUGUCUCAGUCUGAACUCAGUAAAGGACUGACACUUUACACUUCAACAGCAAAUAACUGCAAACUCAUUCAUAGGAAGUAUUGGUUUUGGAUUUCUGUAAUAAUGUUACUUGUUUCUUUAUUGUUUUUUUAUGUGACUUUGGUGUUACACUAACGCUAUGUCCAGACAGAUUUUGGAAUGUACCUGUUGUGCUGCCCCUCAGUCCCCUAAGCUACAGUUUUAUUUAGGCUAAAGACUCCAAAAUUUCACUUAAAUGAGCAGAUUUAUCGAGAAAACAGUCAUUUAAUUGCAAAAAGCAAUACAGUUUGGUGGGCAAUGCAAGAAGAAACCAAACAAAUCACACAGAAUGAGUCUCCACAAGCAGACUGGUGGGUUUAUAAUGGUUAUCUUUAUUUUGCCCAGGUGCUCCCAGUCAGCUCUGCUUACCAGUUCCCUCUACCUGAUGAGGAAAACAAAGUCCAACCAAACAGGUCAGAAGGCCAAACGAAUAGAAAGUUGUCAAACUGUAAACAGACAAAGCAGCAGUGAAAGAAAAGUAAUGGAUGCCAUCUUUCUCUUAGUACAGAACAUAUGUACAAAUGUAUAAAUUUAGGGUAUAAAAUGACUGCUUCAACCUUUUAGUAGCUUUAAGAUGUGGGUCUGAGUGUGCUUUUGUGAUGAGUGAGUUCUGACUUACCAGAAGCCUGUCUCCCUCUUGUGGUCACAGGUCAGAAGCUUUGAAGUGGAUUCUGAGACAUGGGCGUGAUUGUUAUAUCAUCUUCUUUAAGUAAUUUAUCUUACUGCCAGUGAUUCUCCCAGUAGACCCUAAAUGUCAUAGCUAAGAAUCCCCCCGGAUACUCGUCAAGCUGCUACAAGCAGCCCUGAAUAAUGGACGGGAAUGAGAGAUCUCCUUUUGACCUCGUUGCUAUGGAUGACGUAGACCUUUGGGUGUCUCAUAAACACGAUCUGUUGUUAAGGGACAAAUCGAUUUUUGACCUUGGGGUUGAAGGGGAUGUUUUGUUUUUUCCAACCAGUAAAGAAAAUCUAAACUCAAUACAUGAGCUGAUAUUUGACAUGAUAUGAGGAUGCUUGCAAGAAGAUAACAUGCAACUUAUCCAAAAGUCGGUACUUUUUGCACAUGCUUUUGUUGACAAAGUCUGUGACUCACUUUUAUUUUGACUUUAUGGCACAGUAUAUCAACACUGAAUUGAAAUAAGUGUUUCACGUGGAGAAAGUUGACUGGAGCUUGGCAGGUUCACCCUGGAGGGAAUUGGAUGUCAGAAUCAGUGCUACUCUGCAUUAAAUAGUUAUACCCAAUUUCUGGACCUUCUCCAAAUUUCAAGGUGAAAUACUGAAGGUUAAUGUUUUGUUUAACAUCACAUUAAUUCAUUAUUUCAUUGCAGGGCCAAAGUUAUGUCAGUGUUUUUUUAAUGUUCAGCUGUCUUUUCAAUGGUUUUAUUAAAUUCCUACCCUAGUAGGUGAGAUACUGAAGGCUACUCUUAAUAUGUUUUACAUCUUUAGCUUAUAGCUCAGCUACUGCUGCAGCAGCAGGUGUAAGGCAAACAAAGAUUUGUCUAAGCUCUAUUUUUAACAUUUAAAUUCCAGUCCGCAGGGCUUCCUGAAAAUAAGAUGGUGUCAUUGCUUGGUAAAGGUUUUAGAAAACUCUUUUGAUACAACAGAAGUAGCAGCAGCAACAACUUCUGCAGUAGCAUUUAUGACUACUAUUAGUCAGCAGAAGUUCUUUGAGAUCCCGGGAGCAACCACUACCUAAAUAAAGGCUUUAAGCAGACCAACGAAAAGCUAAAAUGAGAAACCAUAUAAGUUCACCACUUGAUUAUGCUUAUGCUUGAGGCAAGAAUGAUUUUCAUAGGCUGAUAUAUAUUCUAAAAUGAUGAUUGCUAUAGAACGAUUUAAAAUGAGUAUUAUGAUCAUGCUAAGAUGUAAUGAUUAAAAGAAGUGAUUUUAAGUAAAAACACUGUGUAUGUGGAGAAGUAACACAUUUUGAACUGCGCACUUACAAAAAAGCAGAACUACAAUGCUGGGGAAAUCUUGGCCUGUGAGGAGUGUGUGCGCAUUUUCAAAUAUGGUUAUAGGAAGCACAUGGAGAAUGUCUUAACCGUUCUCCAUGUGCCUUGAAUGUGCCUUGGCAAAGUGUGUAAUCGUUGUGAGGCUGAUAGUUGAGCAACUGAGCGUACAGAUAAUGUGUGUCUAUUAGAGGAUGAAAGUAUAAAAGAGAGAGACAGAGACACUGAAUUCGGAGUUGUUCCCCGGAGCCGCCAUAGAGCUGCUACAGAGAUCGUCGCCGAGGCCCAGAGGAGUCGUCACCGGACUUUCUGCCAAAGGACAUGAGGACGUCGUUGGAAGCAAAGUUGUUCUGACUUUGUUCAAAAUAAGACGACCACGCUCUGCUGAAAGGAGAGCCCCGAUUGGUCUGCGAUUCUACUGAGAGGAGAAAAGAGAAAUCCACCACACACCAGAAGGGAGCGGAGGCAGCAACAAGGAGCUGCUCUCAUCCUAACAGCCACUGGCUAACCUGAGGACAUCGAGGGAUUUUCUCACUGCUGUUCCAGCUUCUGCUUCUGAGGACAACCGCACAACCAAGAUUGGCUUUUGGGGCCUUUCCGCUCCCCUUGCCGAGGAAGGACACUUUUUGGACCAAAAGGUACUUUGGACAGAGUUUCCAGAUCCUCUGAGGAGUUUGACCAGACGCAGGCAGGUUAAGAGCGGGAGUGGCAGCUAAGGCCUGGCUGUCCGUCCUCUCUCACCUCUAAAUUAUACAAUUAGAGAAAAUAUUCUUAGAAACGCUCAGUUCAAUGAAGUUUAGUUAGAACUGAUUAUGAUUAAUUGCAUUUUUCAAUCAUGAGCUGAUGCUAUGCUCCUGCUAAUGUUAUUCAAUAAAAAGCUAUCUUGCA